rnacentral:rRNA from 1 species
CGGACGGGUGAGGAAUACAUCGGAAUCUACUCUGUUGUGGGGGAUAACGUAGGGAAACUUACGCUAAUACCGCAUACGACCUACGGGUGAAAGCAGGGGAUCUUCGGACCUUGCGCGAUUGAAUGAGCCGAUGUCGGAUUAGCUAGUUGGCGGGGUAAAGGCCCACCAAGGCGACGAUCCGUAGCUGGUCUGAGAGGAUGAUCAGCCACACUGGAACUGAGACACGGUCCAGACUCCUACGGGAGGCAGCAGCU